rnacentral:lncRNA from 10 species
AUGCAGAAUAUGCUUUGCUUAAGGACAUUCCCUGAUUACUAGGAAAUGAAUCAACACAAAAACUCAAGAAUAUACAUCAUAAUAUAACACAAUUUUAUUUCCGCCUUCUAGAAAAUGUUCCCGGAAUGUGGAAGAAGCUUGUGUAAAAAUAGAUGUUCAGAGUAACAAGAUUUAUAAUAGCACAGCCUUAGAAAUCUAAACACGUUAUUUAAGUAAAAUAUCAGGCAGGUAUUUAAAAUUAUGUUAACAAAAACCUUGUGUUUGUCUUAUAUUUGUUAAAAGCCAAAUGCGAAAUUUUUAUAUAAUAUGACUUAAACUAUAUUGACAUACAUAUAAUGCACAAAAAGUGUAGGUCAGUUUUUCAAAAUCACAGCAAGCAAUUAGAUCUAAGGAUGGAAUUAUAGGUAAAUUACUUUUAUUUCUUUAUACUUUUCUGUUUUUUCUAGAUUUUUCCAUAAUGAGUAUAUAUUGUCUUAUGAUCUAUAAAACAAAAUUUAAAAAUACAAGGGAGAUGAGACUGGCUAUUUGUAGAGAAUGAACCCAAUUUAGAUAUACAAAUAUACUGUAAGUAUACAAGGUAAAGCAACCAAAGGACGGUGAGAUAGCAAAAUUUUAACAGUGGUUGUAACUUUGUAAUGGCUUAUGGCUGAUUUGUCUUCUUUAUACUUUAAGAUAGCUACCAAAAUGUCUUCCAUGAGCAUAUAUUAUAUAUUAGAAUAUUAAAUAUCUUUUAAGAUGGUAAGAAUAAUACCAUCAUAUUAAGUAUAGUUUUAAACUAAUGGGCAAAUCCUGGCACAAAUACUCCCUGAAGUAUGUUUGAUACUGUUAAUUCCUACUUAAUGUCAAUGUUUUCUUCUCUUUCUGUUACUAAUUUAACCCUGUGUUGGGAAUGACAGUGUUCUCUUUUAAAAAAAAAAAUCUCUCAACCUCUUUCUCAGUGAGAGUGGCCUGUGACAUGGUCUAGCCAAUGAGAUGUAAGUGUAAUCACUGGAUGAGGUGUCAGGGAAAGCACUUCCAUUUUAUGUCUAUUGCCUUUCCUUUUCUUUCUACUUGAAAUGAGAAUAUGCUGGCUGAAGCUCCAGCAGCCUUGCUGUGAACAUAAACAUGAGGGUCACAUCUUAAGGAUGGUGGAACAAAAAUGAAAAAGGAACCUGAGUUCCUGGUAACGUCAUGGAACAGCCCUAUCAGCUUCUUGACUGGCUAUCUCCAGACUUUGCAUGAGAGAAGAUAAACUCCUAUUUUAUUAAGCUACUAUUAUUUGGGUUUUUUGCUACAUUCAGCCAAACUGAAUCCCUGACUGCUACAAUGGGUAUGACUUUGGAAGUAUUAUUUAGCGUUUUGUGCUACAUUGAAUUAUUCUCCCUAAUCCUUCAUGCCUCUUAGCAUCCACACCUUUGCCAUGGACUUUGGUGGAGUAUACUUCCCCAAUCCUUGAUUUUGAAUUUAGCCAUGUGACUUGCUUUGGCCAAUAGGUUGUGGUGAAGCAACGGUGUGCCAAAUCAGAUCCAAGAUCUUAAAGAGACCCCAUAUUUCUGCUUUCUCUCUUGUGCCUGUAUCAUUGCCAUGAGAAGUACAUACAAAGCAAGCUCUUUGGUCCCAGAAUCACAUGCAUAUGGCACAGAAUUGCCUGAACCGAUCUUUUAGUAAGAUGCAGAGAUGCCCAACUAGGGCCCAGCCUAGAUCAGCCAAACUCCAGUCAACCUGUAGAUGUGUGAUAAUGAAUGAGUAUUGUUUUAAACCGCUGAGUUUUUGAGUGGCUUAUUAUACAGUAUAAGUGUGGAAAGAGUUCAUUUAUAAACCUUUCAGUGAUUUAAAUUUCUCAUUUAUAAAACAAAACAAUGGUAUCUAUCUCGUGGAGUUGUGAGAGUAAAAUGAGAUAGCCGUCAUGAAGCACUUAGCACAGCAUCUGACAUAGAUAAAAGGAUUCAUAAAUUUUAGAAACUAGUAUUUUAUGACCUUUAUCAUGGUUAUUAUUGACAACAUCAACUAUGACAAUAUAUUUUAUACUCCCAUGGUUUAUUGGACUUCUAGUCUUUGUAGAACUAUUUGUUCCUAGUUUUAACACGGCAGCAAUGGCAUUUAAUUAAAAAACACGGAGGAACCAGAGUGCAUCCAGAGAAUAAGAAAAAUUUUGUCAGAAUAAGAUAGAGAGAACUGGAUAUAUUUACCUUGAGAAAAAGAAGGCAUGAGAACUCUUCUCAGUUUUGUUAAAAGAGAAACCAAGUUUUAUGUUGUUUCAAAACACCAGAUUACAAAUCUACAUAAAACAGUCUUAAAAUAGAAUUGUGAUGGAAGUCAUCCUAGAAGAAGUGAAACCCAUUUUAUCAAAUGUUUUUUAUCUAAAAGCUAAAAGAUUGCCUUUAAGAAUAUUGUAGAAUUAAUUUCUUCUGAUUAAGUAUCUUUAAUAUGUCACAAACUGUUCAACAUUUAAAGAGAGAAUUAUAUAUUUUUCCUUUUCCUCAGGCUUUAAGAAGUUUUAAGCUCAAAUGAGUUGAGCUUCUUAGCAUGUUUAAUAAUUUUUUAUUGAGCCGGGCACGGUGGCUCACCCAGCAGUUCUUUAGAUAUUGUGAAGAUCUAAGCUAAAUUUUUCAGUUGCUAACAAAGAUAGAUAAUUAACAUUUGAAAGAGUACUUUGGAGCUUACAAAGCUAUUUCACAGAUAGAUAACUCAUCUGUUCCUUAAAACAGCCUCAUGAGAGUGAACAUUAUUAUUUCACUUUACAGAUAUAGAAAUCAAUAUUCAGAGAGCAAGAGACUAGUCUAAGACUGCAAAGCUACUAAGUUACGGAGCCAUCUUAAGUCUUAUUGCUCUUAUAAGUACUUAAAAUGAGGGGAAUUCUUUUAAGCUUCUGAAAAUUCUAGACUCUUUUUCCCAAAAAAUUCAUAGAGCCCCUAAUUUUAUAUAUAAUUUCAGAUAAUAUACAGAUUCCCUGAAGUUCAUGCAAGUGGCAGUGUACUCUUGGUUUAAAAUUUCUAAUUUUUUCAGCACUGUAAGACAGGGUGGGAAAAAAAAAUUUCUAGUUUUUAACUUGCAUCUAGAUAGUAGUUACAUGGCUAUUCACUUUAUAAUUUUUUAACUGUAUAGAUAUAUACAUAUAUACACAUAUACACAUACGUAUAUAUACAUAUGUAUUUAUACACAUAUGUAUAUAUGUAUAUAUAAAUAUAUAUGUUACACUGACUUUUCUGUAUAUGUUUUAUAAUAAAAAAUAAAGGCUCAAUAAUAUAGAACUUCUCUACUUUUAGUUGUGCUUUGUGGAUGUUAAGCAUUAAAACAGAGCUGUAUUCCUAAAAAAUCCUCAAAAGUUAAAAAAAUAUAUAUUGUGUUAUUCACUUUGUUUUCAUUGUCUUUCUCCAUUAUUAUCCAUGUGCUUCACAACAGCUCUCCUUUUUUAAAAAAAACACAACCUGUAUAUUACAUGUAGGGCAUCGAUUUUGAAACUGUGAAAGUCAGAGUCCUGGAAUUAGCUGACAAUCUCCUUUUCCAGUUUAUCUUUCCUUCUCCACAAAAAGGCUUGAUAACGGAGAGGGAAGUUGAGAUUUCAGGUCAAUAAUGAGAAAGAAAUUAUGGAACAAGUAAGACAAUGCAAGUCACCCUUAUUUCCGUUUCUCUUAGGAUAAGCAUGAGCUAUUUUCUUGUACUUUCCCAUAUCCUUUUAGUCAGGAGGAUCACAAGAUUAUUCCUUAACCAUCUUCUUCAUGGAGAUUCUUUUUCAAAUGUUAUUUACAUGGGCACAGAUACAAAAAGGCAGAAAAAAAAGCAGAUAGUUUCGUUUCCUGAUACAAACAUAGCAUAGCUUCUUGAGUUCAAGGGUCCUGUCUAACCCUUAAAAAUCUACUUUUCUUUGUAAUUAUCAAGAAUAUUUUGGCCGGGAGCUGUGGCUCACGCCUGUAAUCCCAGCACUUCGGGAGGCUGAGG